rnacentral:tRNA from 4 species
GCCGGAAUAGCUCAGUUGGUAAAGCAAAGGACUGAAAAUC